GCCUUCUUUCACCAUCAACCUCGUCCUCCUCUCAUUUCUUACAAACUCUUUGCAAAGAGACAAGCAAAAUAAAAGACCAACAAGAGUUAAAGACUCUGUCGGAGAAAGAAGACUCGGUCGGAGAACGAAGACUCUGUAGGAGAAAGACAUAAUGGCGACAAGAUUCAAACAAACAUGCCUGAUCAAGUCGGAGGUGGCGGAUGAUGUGAAGAAUCGUCGUGCGCUCGGUGACAUCGGAGAGAGGAAGCCAAAACCCAACCGACUCCAACGGAGGUCGCGCUUAUGGUUUAAAGAUGCUGCAUAUGUGAAGAAUCGCCGGAGCUGAUCAGAACCGAGAGAGAGAGAGGAAGCCAAAUCCCACACUGCCCAUACGGUCAAACAUUCCAUCCACCGACUCCUGUUGUCAUUUUUGACCGAUGAUGACGCAAUCACCAACCUCCUUCCUUCUUCAGGUGAUAAUCUCUUAUCCUCUUUCUUUUCUUCUUUUUAUUUAGAUAAAAGUUUUUUAAUGAUUGAUUAUGAAAGUAUAAAUGACAUAAUGUGGAACUAAUCUAGAACAUGAUAGUCCUGUGGUCAUUUUUGAUAUAACAUAGUAGAGAGUCUUCAUAUUAUGUGUUCAUUUAUCUUUCUGAUUAAUUUCCAAAAAUUUUAAAAUCUUUUUUAUUUCUUAAAAGUUUUUGAUAAAAGACAUUUUUCUUAGGUUUUUGAAUGAUUUGAUUACGGAAGCUAAAUGCAUAAUGUGGGUAUUUUCGAACAUGAUGUCCUGUCAAUUUUUAUGGUCGUUAGAGAUAUGAUGGUUGUUUAUCUUCACAUUAUAUUCAUUUAACUUUCUAAUUAAUCAUCAAUUUUAUUUACAAGUAUUUUUCUUUUAAUAGCUUUUUUUUUGCUGAUAAAAUACAUUUUUUAAGGUAUUUGAAUGAUUGAUCACGGAUGCUAACUGCAUAAUGUAAAACUAAUGUGAAACUAAUCGAACAUGUUGCUUAUGCAAAGAUCAUGUUCAAGCUAAUCUGAAUUAAUUUAUGUUUUCAUGGUUGUUACUGUACCUAAAAUAUAUAUAAUCCCUAAAGACUAAACGCGAAUAUCUUGAACCCCAAAUGUCUAAAUCUGGAAAUGGUUUAAGAUUACUUAAGUUGUCAACAAUACUUAAGUCUCAUAAAUAGUUAAUAUAGUAAGAGAUCAUAUAGUAAGAGAUCAUAUAGUAACUGUGUGUCACUGCAGACAUGUCUCAUUUCAUGUCGUUAGGCCUCUCAUCUGCACAGCUUGGGGUAACGAAAAUUCAGAACUAACGAAUCUCAGAAUAUAUUCGCAAAACAUACAUCUUAGAAAGUCAGAAAUUCUCAAUUGCGUGUAUUUGUGUGUUCAUAUCAUUUUAUCUUUCCUCUCAAAACAUACGCUUAGAACCAAUGUGUAGAACGGCUUUCUUCACCUUCUUAGGAACAGACAUAGCUCGAAGUUCUGCUAAUAAUAAAUGAAUGGAGAGAGUCUUGUGUUUUAGUUUCUUGUUGAAUCGAUCUAGAUGUGUGUGUUUUAACAGUACAUGAAUUAUGCAGAAACAUCCAAAAUUCUGUUCUUGAAAAGAAAAACAUCAAUAAGUCCUUUUUGUCCUGAAACCAUUAAGCUUAGUUACAUGGUUUGAGUUUGAUCCGCAAAACAUGUUUAUCUAAUCCGAAUUGAUAUUAUAAUAAGUUUAUAGGUCUUGAAUGCGGUGUGGAUCAACAAAGUCAAUAGUAUAAUAGUAGUUUUCUCUAGCAUCUAUGCAAAGUUCAAGCUGCGUCUACUGAAUCAGAAAAACACUAACCAUGUCGAGAAAACAUGUAAGAGAUAGAUUCAUUUUGAUAUGGAAAUAUAUAAGAAAACUAGGACCGUAGACUACAGUUUGGCAGUUUUAUGCGAGAGAGAGAGAGUGGAGAUAGUUAUGGGAAAGCUGAGUUGAUAUCACUAGAGGAGCUAAAAGAUGAAUCAAACGGAUACUUUGUGAAAGACACCAUUGUUCUUGAAGCUGUUAUGCUUUGUGUCUCUCAGAGACUUAAGUUGGUCGAGUCCACUAUCUAGAUACUUUUCUUCUCGUCAUCUUUUGUGUUCAAGUUGUUUACUUAUGUUUCAAAACGUCCUUAUUUUUGUGGCUGUGUGUCAUGGGUUGUUUGAUUAUAUGAAUAAACUAGUAUCUAGGUAAAUUUUGUGUGUUUUCAUUUCACCAUCUUUGUUUCCAUGUAAUAAUAAUGAAGUCAACUAUUUUCGUAA